UCCCAUAUGGUCUGGUGGUUAGGAUUUGGCGCUUUCACCGCCAAUGACAGGGUUCAAUUCCCGGUGUGGGAA
rnacentral:tRNA from 1 species